ensembl:lncRNA
CCCGGCUCAGUAAAGGGUCCUUUAUUUCCUCACAGGCAGAACUGAUCCAUUUGCCACCUGUUUGCCAGAUGGGGACAAGGGAGCCACGGAGGGACUGUGGCCACAGAGGCGCCUGUCAUCUGGGUGCCAAGGCCCUGCUGCCUGCCAGAAGAGGGCCCAGGACUGGGCAGGAGGAAAUGCUGGGGAGUCCCAGGCAGGGUAGGACAGACUGGAAUGGUGGCCAGGCUUCCACACCCUGCAGCCUCCUUGGCAGCGGGGGGGCGAGGGCUGGAUCAGGAAGUGUCCGCCAAAGGUUAAGCAGGUGAGUGAGGGCACAGAGGGGAGUUUCUGUGGCCAGUUCAGGGGCCUGUGACCCAAGGCCUUUCAGACCCUCCAGGGCCUGGCUUUGAGCAAAUUACCGGCUGCUGGGUGUAGGGUGACCUGGCGCCUGGGAGGGAAAGGUCCAGAAAAGACAAUGAUGUCCCUGCCAGGCGUGGGCCUGGCCUGCUGGCCAAGCAGCACUGCUCUGUGUGUGUGCGUGCACAGAUGGAUCUGAACACAUGUGUGCAUGAUACACAGACACAUAUACAUGCACAGGGGCGUGUUACUGACACCAGGGUGAGGAGCAGCUGUGGCACUGUGCCCGGCCCAGUACACAGAGAGCCAGGCAGAGGGUUCCAGGCUCAGUGCCCUCACCGCCGGCCAGCACAGAGCUCAGGCAGGCUGCGCAGGAUGGCCUCCAGGUUCUGCUUGUCGGUGCGGAUCUCGGCGAGGUCGCUGUUGAAGCCCUGGAUCUGCAGUUCCUGCUGCUUGGACUCCUGCUCCAGCAGCCUCAGUUUUCCCUGAAGGGCCCCCUGUGAGCCCAGCUGAAGCCUCAAUCCUUCCAAGGCCCUCUGGGUCUCGUUCAGGGAGUGGCCAGGGGCUCCGUGGGUAUCCAGGGAUCCUGCAGGGGGCAGACGCGGCCUCAGCAGGAGCUGGGUCCCCCGCUGGCCUUGGGAACCUGCUCAGCCCCAUCCUGAGCUUGCUCCGGCUCAAGCUUCUAGGAGGCCGAAUGCCAGGGAAACAGGGGACCUGGAGGCGCAGAGCCCAGCACCCCAUCAAGUCACUGCAGACUUGGGAGCUGUGCCCUAGGUGUCCCCGGGCGACUGUUCCCUUCGGGGGAUGCUGCCACUAUUGUUGCUUAAUCGAGGCCUUGGGGAGUCUUCUUGGAGCCCAGUUUCCUCAUCUCCCGGGACACGGAUGGGCUGGGACCCUUGCUGGCCCAAACACACUGCAUCAGUGCACCCUGAGAGUCCAUGUGGGGUACCGCCUGGGUGUGGGGCAUGCAGGGGUCACGGUUCUGGCUUUGGACGAGGGCUGGGGAGCAGACGGGGUGGGGAGAGGCUUCGGGCUGCAAGUAGGGGUCCUGGUCCCAGCUACUGUACUUCCGGUCAGUUCCCCUUCCUGGGAUGAAGGAAUCUUGCCUCCCUGAGCGGCAGGAAAGCCAUGACCCACGUGCUCACACUGCCACGAGGUGGUGGAGAUGGCAUCACAGGCCGCCUCCCCACCCGGCCCUAAGUGUGACAUCAGACAGCAAGAUGGAACCCAGCCCAGUGGGCGCGGGGGUCAUGGAGAAGUCAGGCCUACAGGAUCCCUCAGGGCUUCUCCGAAGUUCCCAGGCCUGGGAGGCUGGGUCUGGGGGUCAGGAGAGGCCUCACCAUGCCCGGGAGAGCCCCAGCAGCCUGGCCUUUGAGGAGACUGUGAAUCAGUGCCAGCCACCGUUCCACCUGCCCAGGCGGCCUGGGGCUCCCAGGGGCAGAGGCCAGCUGUGUGCUGCUCAUUCCCACGUCCCCAUGUCAAGACUGGGGUUUGAUUUAUGAGUGGGUGAGUGAGUAAAUGAAUACAAACAACAUUCAUAUGCCGUGGGGCGCUUGCAGCAGGCCAGGUGUCAGGGAAGAGUCACACGUGAACCACAGCAUCCCCACUGACCAGCUGCGGGACCCUGGGAAGACCAUCUAAGAGCUCCGUGCCUCAGUUUCCUCAUUUGCAAAAUGGCAAGAGAAUAACUAGCAAUGCUUCCACAUAUUCAUAGCGAUAAUUAAAAACGGAUGCCGUGGCACAGGUUGCCCUUGAAGACCUCAUGUCAAGUGAAAUAAGCCAGCCAGGAGGGACAGAGGUGCAGAGUAAUUCUCCAGUCACAGGAGAGACAGCGGGGGCUGCCAGGGCUGGGACGGGAAUGAGAGGUCCGUGUUCUUUGGUCUUUGUUUUUUUUGAGACAGGGUCUCCCUAUACUGUUCGGGCUUGUCUUGAACUCAUUGUGUAGUCGGGGCUUGAACUGUCAGCGAUCCUCCUGCCUCAGCCUUCCCAGUGCUGGGGUGACAGGAGUGCAGUUCCACGCCCAGCAGGGUCCAUGUUUACCGAGGGCAGAGUUGGAACAAUGAGAAAGUUCUGGAGGUGGACGUGAUGGAGUGUGACUGUCCCCAGUGCCACUGCCGUAGUUUGGCUCUGAAUGUCCCUGAAGGCCACUUACGGAAGGAAGGCUUGGUCCCAGCCCAGGUGCACGGGGAGGGGCUUCCGGAGGGGCUCUGGCCUUAGAAGGGCUCCCUGGGCUGCCCUCGAAGGGGACAGGAGGACCCAGGCCCUUCCUGGCUUUCUGCACCCAGGCCUCCUGUGACACACGCUCCUCCCUCGGGAUGGAACCCAGGGCCUGGUGCAUGCUGGGCAAGCACUCUACCCCUGCGCCACACCCAGUCCAAUCCCUUCCUCCUUUUGCACUGAUCGCCUGAGGUAUUUUGUGGCAGUAACAGAAUGCUGACCAACACAGCCCCCGACUGUGCACUUACAAAUAGUUACAACAGUAACCCUUACGUUUAUGUUAGCACAAUCGUACACAAUGGUUCGGGCACAGUGGUACAUGCCUAGAUCCUUAGAACUCUGGGAGGCUGAGGCAGGAGGACUGCAAGUUCCAAGCCAGCCUGGGCAACUUAGUGAGACUCUGUCUCAAAAUAAAAAAUAAAAGGGCUGGGGAUGGAGUUUAAUGAAUAGAGCACCCCUGGGUUUGGUCCAGAGCCCUGGAGGCGCAGGGGCUCUUCCAAGGGCACUGGCUCAUGCACACAUCUGGCCCCAGGAUUGGGACGAGGAAGCCACAGAGAGGAGGACUGACAAUAGGGCUUCCGGGAACUGUGACUCCCGGACAACAGCCAGGGACUCGGGACUCAGCCUUGGGGUCUCCUUACCCAGCCCAGCAAGCAGCUCUGCCAAGGCCUCGACGUCCUUCUCCAGGGAGACGCGCGAUUCUCGGAUCUGCUGCUCCAUGGUGCUCAGCCCUGCACCCACCUUGGGGAUGGGAACAGCUCGAGUGCCUCUGGCCUGGGUGCCAGGCCCAGGGGGAUGGGCGGCUGGCACACCUACCUGCUCAGUUUCCUCCAGCCCCUGUCUUCGAGCCCCUGAGGUCAGCACUAGUCUCGAGGCCCGUUGGAGCGUGGCUUGUGUCUGGCUGGCCAGCUGGCUGGCACGGCGGUGCCCCUGUUUCCCAUCCCGCAGCGAGCCCCUGGCGACCUAUGGGUGGGCAGCGGCAGGGAGAGAAGAGGAGCCGAAGAGAGUCCUUUGGGUAAAGAGCUCUUGUGGGGGGCUGGGGAUGUAACUCAGCAGUGCAGCACCUGCCUGGCAAGGGCGAGGCCCUGAGUUCAAUCCCUGGUACCAAAAAAAAAUAGAGCUCUCUAGUACUUC